CAAUCCUUGUCCAAUCUUUCCUGUAAAAUGAUGAGAAAUUACCUAGAAUGACUCAAAUCAUACACGUAAUUACUAGACUAACUCAUAAACUUUUGUAAUUAUUAGACUAAAGCACAUGGCAACCGAAAAUACCAAAAAACCAGUCUCUCUUUCGUAUUUUCACGAGAUUGCCAUUGGAAAUUAUUAAUAGGAAAAUGUUUAUUUUUUUUAUAAAGAAAAACAAAACCUUUUGAUCGAGACUGGAGAAAGUCGUCUCCUUCGUUUGCGACAACACCAAAUCGACAACUUCUUCUCUGCCAGAGCCGCCUUCCAUUUCGUCACCUCCACCCGAAUCGCCGUCGUCUCUGUAAGACAAGAGGAACCCUGAAUCCGAUUUCACCUCUGUCUCCGCCUUUAAAUCGAAGAGACGAAACAAUUGCUCGUUUUCAACCAAGAGUGAUUUCAAGGGAUGGAGACCAUACAUGAGCGUUGUGGCCAGUUUACCGACAAACCCGUUCUUCUAAAUUGACUAGGAGAGGCUAGUCUGAUCUUUAUCAAUUUAUACAAUUAUACCUUGCAUCAAUCUCUGUACACUAUGCGGAUAUUCACUUACUCUGCAUUCAUAUGUGCCUCUUUCUGGUCAGGCAAGCGCUUGGACUUUCAACAGAGUGGUCUCAUCAUCCUCUGUAUUCUCCUGGAGGAUUAGAGGUUCUGGAUGGUGUGGAGAAAGUAUUGGUUGGUACUUGAGUCGCGAUGGAUUACGCAUUACCUCAACAUGUCAAUGCCUUAUGGAGAUUUUCCAUUGCAGACACUCCAGGGAUAAGUUCUCCUAAGAACAAUCUUAGGCCUCUCUGAGUUCAACCCAAUACUCUUUAACUUCGCUUCUUGUUCUCUGUAAAUAGAUAUCUACAUGUUUGCACUCUUUAGUGUCUGUAUAGUGUUUAUUUAGAAGUGGAAAUACCGUUAAGGUAUUGGGUGGAAAGUGGAAGUCGGUUAUUAAAUACUUCGGUCGGUUAUUAAAUUCUUGACAAAUUGUAAACGUGAGACAAAUCAAUAAAGAACAAAUUUCCCAACCGUUUGAUUGAGUUGUUCAUGAAAAAUGCUAUUAUUUACAGCUUUAACCUGUAAACGAGAUGAAGAAUGAGAACAAAACGUUAUAGGUACAAUUAGGUUUCAACGUUAACACGGUUUGGCCUUUUGACCAUUAGUAUUGUUUGACCGACCCAAACAAAUCAUUUCCUCCGUACCUCAACAAGCAAAAUCAUUCCUUCGUAACAAGAUGUAUUUUUUUUAUUAAAGUGAUACAUGUAAAUCAUUCUCUGUGUAACAUAACAAGAUGAUUUCAUAUAAAUGGUGCAUGCGAUAUUUUCUUCUAUUGACUUGUACAUGUCAGAAGUUAACGUCAAUUUCAAAAAUUUAAACAUAAUUCUGAUUUUAGUUACACUAGAAAUAAACCGGAUUUAAAACUAAAGAAAACCAAAUUAAAUUCAAAAUUAAAUUAAGUUUGGUUUAUUCAAAUCCGGAUUUCCUUAUAAAAAUCUGCCCCUUCAUAAAUAAAAAAAUCUGACAUAGAAAUUUAAGUCUAACACAAAACUCUACAAUUUAUAAUAAAUCUAUUAUCUCAUUUAAAUCGGAUACGUAAAUCUGCCAUAAAAAUUAAGUCUAACAAAAAGUUCUAUCAUUUAUAACAAAUCUGUUACCUCGUUUGGUAGACUUAUCCUUAAAAAUCUGUUUUCAACUUAAAUCGAACAAACAACUCUGUCGUAUAAACAAAUCUGCCAU